UGAGGAAUAUUGGUCAAUGGUCGGGAGACUGAACCAGCCAAGCCGCGUGAGGGAUGAAGGUACAGAGUAUCGUAAACCUCUUUUGUCAGGGAACAAAGACUGGGACGCGUCCCCGGAUGAGUGUACCUGAAGAAAAAGCAUCGGCUAACUCCGUGCCAGCAGCCGCGGUAAUACGGAGGAUGCGAGCGUUAUCCGGAUUUAUUGGGUUUAAAGGGUGCGCAGGCGGUCUGUUAAGUCAGCGGUCAAAGCCCGGGGCUCAACCCCGGCCCGCCGUUGAAACUGGCAGUCUCGAGUUGGAGAGAA
rnacentral:rRNA from 1 species